UUCGCCCUUUUCCGGUUGAUCCUGCCGGAAGUUACUGCUAUCGGUGUUCGACUAAGCCAUGCGAGUCAAAUGUUCUUCGUGAACAUGGCGGACUGCUCAGUAACACGUGGAUAACCUGCCCUUAGGUUCGGCAUAACUCCGGGAAACUGGAGAUAAUUCCGAAUAGGUCAAAUAUGCUGGAAUGCUUUUUGGCCAAAAGACCUCGGUUGCCUAAGGAUGGAUCUGCGGUCUAUCAGGUUGUAGUGGGUGUAACGUACCUACUAGCCUACGACGGAUAUGGGUUGUGAGAGCAAGAGCCCAGAGAUGGAUUCUGAGACAUGAAUCCAGGCCCUACGGGGCGCAGCAGGCGCGAAAACUUUACAAUGCGGGAAACCGCGAUAAGGGGACACCGAGUGCCAGCAUUUAUGUUGGCUGUCCACAUGUGUAAACGGCAUGUGUUAGCAAGGGCCGGGCAAGACCGGUGCCAGCCGCCGCGGUAACACCGGCGGCCCGAGUGGUAAUCACUUUUAUUGGGUCUAAAGGGUCCGUAGCCGGUUUGAUCAGUUCUUCGGGAAAUCUGACAGCUCAACUGUUAGGCUUCCGGGGAAUACUGUCAGACUUGGGACCGGGAGAGGUAAGAGGUACUACAGGGGUAGGAGUGAAAUCUUGUAAUCCCUGUGG
rnacentral:rRNA from 1 species